UACAGAGGUCUCAAGCGUUGCUCGGAAUCACUGGGCGUAAAGGGUGCGUAGGCGGGUCUUUAAGUCAGGGGUGAAAUCCUGGAGCUCAACUCCAGAACUGCCUUUGAUACUGAAGAUCUUGAGUUCGGGAGAGGUGAGUGGAACUGCGAGUGUAGAGGUGAAAUUCGUAGAUAUUCGCAAGAACACCAGUGGCGAAGGCGGCUCACUGGCCCGAUACUGACGCUGAGGCACGAAAGCGUGGGGAGCAACAAGG
rnacentral:rRNA from 1 species